rnacentral:rRNA from 1 species
AGUGAACGCUGGCGGCGUGCCUAACACAUGCAAGUCGAACGAGAACGGAUUAUAGCUUGCUAUAAUUGUCAGCUAAGUGGCGCACGGGUGAGUAAUGUAUAGGUAAUAUGCCUCUUACUAAGGGAUAACAAAUGGAAACGUUUGCUAAUACCUUAUACUCCUUAUUAACAGAAGUUAAUAAGGGAAAGAUUUAUUGGUAAGAGAUUAGCCUGUAUUGUAUCAGUUAGUUGGGGGGGUAAUGGCUUACCAAGACUAUGACACAUAACUGGUUUGAGAGGAUGAUCAGUCACACUGGAACUGAGACACGGUCCAGACUCCUACGGGAGGCAGCAGUGGGGAAUAUUGCACAAUGGACGAAAGUCUGAUGCAGCAACGCCGCGUGGAGGAUGACACAUUUCGGUGCGUAAACUCCUUUUAUAUGAGAAGAUAAUGACGGUAUUAUAUGAAUAAGCACCGGCUAACUCCGUGCCAGCAGCCGCCGUAA